rnacentral:tRNA from 1 species
GAGGCUAUAGCUCAUGUGGUAGAAAGCAUGCUUAGCAUGCAUGAGGUCCUGGGUUCAAUCCCCAGUACCUCCU